AUUUAACUUUAGCUAACUUAGUGUAGCUGACUGCUACUGCUUUCACAUAAGAGUGGUCUAUCUUGAUGAUUAUAGAUGCAUUAGUUUAUGUCAAUAUGGACACGGAUCCUUCAACGCGUUGGAAUGCUCUUUUUGACAGCUUCAAACCCGUCCAUUGAUUCAGAUGAGUUUGAUUACUGCACUUAGUUAACUAACAACAAGUGCAGCAGUAAGACAACGUUAGCUAGCUAGCCCUAUGAAAUGCCCUUAAUUUGUAUGAACUUUGCUACUUACUUGCUGUUCUACUAGAGUUGUUUAUUUGUUUUUGAAUUGUGUUUGCCAGAGUAAAUCUAGAUAAAUGUACCAAACGUUAGCUGAAAUUUGGUUAACCUUACAGUUUGAAAAUUAAGAAGACAUAUCCAUCUUUCGGCGACCAGUAGCCCUUCUUCCUAAACACACAGAAGGCCUAGAGUGUCUUGUCAUUGGAGGACUCUGAAAUAGAGGAGCUUCAAAUAUCUGUGGCACAGUCACAACUGUGUUGGACAGAGGAGACCGUUUGCCCACAUAGAGAGCCUACAACUGAACCCCAUGGAGUUUAUCAAGCCACUGAAUUAGCCCAGCAGGGCACACACCAGGAGCCCAGUCCCAUAGGUAAUAAGGUAAAUGAGAUAUGCAGCCAUGACUCUAUUAGAAAUGCAGCUUGGGCAGGAGGCCAUCCACGCAGCAACGUUCCCGUGGAGAUGAAAGGGGACACCUCAGCCAUGGCACACUAAACUGACAAAAAAUAACUGAGUCCACAUCGCCACACCCUUCACAUAACACAGCUUGUGAAGACAACACAUUGGAGUCACUCAAUGCUUUGAGAAAGACACAGAGAACAGAUCCAAAUGGCUCUAUGAAAAAGCCACUACAAGAUAGUCAAACUGUUUUGUCUUUUGAGCCACUGGCGCACUGGGAUCUGGACCAGAUUCUUCUGACUCUUCAAACAGAUGGACUCUUUUUAGGAGGCAGUGUGUCUGACGAACCUAUGGAAGUACAACCAG
ensembl:lncRNA